rfam:Streptococcus pneumoniae SP6-BS73 ctg866, whole genome shotgun sequence.
AACCGCCGUAUGCCGAACGGCACGUACGGUGGUGUGAGAGGGGCUAGAGAUUAUCCCCUACUCGAU